rnacentral:lncRNA from 1 species
GAGGCAUGGAGGGAUGAUCGUUUGUUUUGCCUUGAUUAGGUCAUUCUAGAGUUUAAGAUUAUGCAUCUGUCUCUUUCUUCCCAAAAUAAAGAGAAGAAAGAACCCUUGAGCGGAAGAACAGUCGAAUUUUGUAAAAUGCUUGGAGCUACUCCUCCUCCUUCCGUGGAUGUGAAUUUAGCAAGGACAGUUUAUAGUUGGCAGUGUAAUGGAAUGGAAGAAACACCAAUGAGUCCUGGAAGAACUUUGGCUGUCUUCUUAUCCACCGUUACUUCAUUCAUGUUUUUUUAUCAAAUUGGACUUUGCGUUCGAUCAUCAUGUGUCUUCUGUUUUCUUCGGCUCAAGAAUGAUGGUCUUGUGUAUUCGAUUAAUAUUUAUGAUUGGCA